rnacentral:rRNA from 1 species
AGACCCGAAACCCGGUGAUCUAGCCAUGGGCAGGUUGAAGGUUGGGUAACACUAACUGGAGGACCGAACCGACUAAUGUUGAAAAAUUAGCGGAUGACCUGUGGCUGGGGGUGAAAGGCCAAUCAAACCGGGAGAUAGCUGGUUCUCCCCGAAAGCUAUUUAGGUAGCGCCUCGUGAAUUCAUCUCCGGGGGUAGAGCACUGUUUCGGCUAGGGGGCCAUCCCGGCUUACCAACCCGAUGCAAACUGCGAAUACCGGAGAAUGUUAUCACGGGAGACACACGGCGGGUGCUAACGUCCGUCGUGAAGAGGGAAACAACCCAGACCGCCAGCUAAGGUCCCAAAGUCAUGGUUAAGUGGGAAACGAUGUGGGAAGGCCCAGACAGCCAGGAUGUUGGCUUAGAAGCAGCCAUCAUUUAAAGAAAGCGUAAUAGCUCACUGGUCGAGUCGGCCUGCGCGGAAGAUGUAACGGGGCUAAACCAUGCACCGAAGCUGCGGCAGCGACACUGUGUGUUGUUGGGUAGGGGAGCGUUCUGUAAGCCUGUGAAGGUGUGUCGUGAGGCAUGCUGGAGGUAUCAGAAGUGCGAAUGCUGACAUAAGUAACGAUAAAGCGGGUGAAAAGCCCGCUCGCCGGAAGACCAAGGGUUCCUGUCCAACGUUAAUCGGGGCAGGGUGAGUCGACCCCUAAGGCGAGGCCGAAAGGCGUAGUCGAUGGGAAACGGGUUAAUAUUCCCGUACUUGGUGUUACUGCGAAGGGGGGACGGAGAAGGCUAUGUUGGCCGGGCGACGGUUGUCCCGGUUUAAGCGUGUAGGUGUGUGUUCCAGGUAAAUCCGGUUCACUUUAACACUGAGGCGUGACGACGAGGCACUACGGUGCUGAAGCAACAAAUGCCCUGCUUCCAGGAAAAGCCUCUAAGCAUCAGGUAACAUCAAAUCGUACCCCAAACCGACACAGGUGGUCAGGUAGAGAAUACCAAGGCGCUUGAGAGAACUCGGGUGAAGGAACUAGGCAAAAUGGUGCCGUAACUUCGGGAGAAGGCACGCUGACACGUAGGUGAAGUGAUUUACUCAUGGAGCUGAAGUCAGUCGAAGAUACCAGCUGGCUGCAACUGUUUAUUAAAAACACAGCACUGUGCAAACACGAAAGUGGACGUAUACGGUGUGACGCCUGCCCGGUGCCGGAAGGUUAAUUGAUGGGGUCAGCGCAAGCGAAGCUCCUGAUCGAAGCCCCGGUAAACGGCGGCCGUAACUAUAACGGUCCUAAGGUAGCGAAAUUCCUUGUCGGGUAAGUUCCGACCUGCACGAAUGGCGUAAUGAUGGCCAGGCUGUCUCCACCCGAGACUCAGUGAAAUUGAACUCGCUGUGAAGAUGCAGUGUACCCGCGGCAAGACGGAAAGACCCCGUGAACCUUUACUAUAGCUUGACACUGAACAUUGAGCCUUGAUGUGUAGGAUAGGUGGGAGGCUUUGAAGUGUGGACGCCAGUCUGCAUGGAGCCGACCUUGAAAUACCACCCUUUAAUGUUUGAUGUUCUAACGUGGACCCGUUACCCGGGUUGCGGACAGUGUCUGGUGGGUAGUUUGACUGGGGCGGUCUCCUCCUAAAGAGUAACGGAGGAGCACGAAGGUUGGCUAAUCCUGGUCGGACAUCAGGAGGUUAGUGCAAUGGCAUAAGCCAGCUUGACUGCGAGCGUGACGGCGCGAGCAGGUGCGAAAGCAGGUCAUAGUGAUCCGGUGGUUCUGAAUGGAAGGGCCAUCGCUCAACGGAUAAAAGGUACUCCGGGGAUAACAGGCUGAUACCGCCCAAGAGUUCAUAUCGACGGCGGUGUUUGGCACCUCGAUGUCGGCUCAUCACAUCCUGGGGCUGAAGUAGGUCCCAAGGGUAUGGCUGUUCGCCAUUUAAAGUGGUACGCGAGCUGGGUUUAGAACGUCGUGAGACAGUUCGGUCCCUAUCUGCCGUGGGCGCUGGAGAACUGAGGGGGGCUGCUCCUAGUACGAGAGGACCGGAGUGGACGCAUCACUGGUGUUCGGGUUGUCAUGCCAAUGGCACUGCCCGGUAGCUAAAUGCGGAAGAGAUAAGUGCUGAAAGCAUCUAAGCACGAAACUUGCCCCGAGAUGAGUUCUCCCUGAGACUUAGAGUCUCCUGAAGGAACGUUGAAGACGACGACGUUGAUAGGC